AGUGAACGCUGUCUGUAGGCCUAACACAUGCAAGUCGAACGGCAGCACAGUAAGAGCUUGCUCUUACGGGUGGCGAGUGGCGGACGGGUGAGGAAUACAUCGGAAUCUACUUUUUCGUGGGGGAUAGCGUAGGGAAACUUACGCUAAUACCGCAUACGACCUACGGGUGAAAGCAGGGGAUCUUCGGACCUUGCGCGAUUGAAUGAGCCGAUGUCGGAUUAGCUAGUUGGCGGGGUAAAGGCCCACCAAGGCGACGAUCCGUAGCUGGUCUGAGAGGAUGAUCAGCCACGCUGGAACUGUGACACGGUCCACACUCCUACGGGAGCCACCAGUGUGGAUUCUUGGACAGUUGACGAUAGCCUGAUCCAGCCAUACCGCGUGGGUGAAGGAGUCCUUCGCGUUGUAAAGCCCUUUUGUUGGGAAAGAAAAGCAGCAGGUUAAUACCCCGCUGUUCUCACGGUACCCUACGAAUAAGCACCGGCUAACUUCGUG
rnacentral:rRNA from 1 species